AUGGGGCCGGAUAUAACAAACAACAAAUCCGGUAAAUCCCCAUAUGCAUUAGCAAAUCAAACAACAAUUUUAAACAUUUUAAUUGUUGUUAUCAUGAUGUGGAUGACAUGUGCAAGUUUUAUGCAAUUUUUACUAAAAGUUGACAAGAGCAUUAUGAAGCAUUUGUCACCGUGGCGGAAACGAAGGGGUGCCACGGCAACGAAUCCGAAAGUGAUGCCAUGGCAACAUAUCGGUUUCGGUAGCUCAUGGAGAUACCGGUGCAAAAGGAAAAGCAACGGAAGCGUGUCAUGCAAAGAUGAUGGGGUGCUCCCGGAUUCCGGGUUCCCACAUGACGGUGGCAAGAAAAAAGAGGGGCUUCGUGCAAUGAACAACUCAGACACGGAGCAACACACGGGCAUCACAUAA
rnacentral:rRNA from 1 species